rnacentral:rRNA from 1 species
ACGCUCGACACCUACGGGAGGAGCAGUGGGGAAUAUUGCACAAUGGGGGAAACCCUGAUGCAGCAACGCCGCGUGAAGGAAGACGGUUUUCGGAUUGUAAACUUCUGUUCUUAGUGAAGAUAGUGACGGUAGCUAAGGAGCAAGCCACGGCUAACUACGUGCCAGCAGCCGCGGUAAUCUGAGCGGGCUGGCAAGGC